rnacentral:tRNA from 1 species
GAGGAAUUAGCUUAAUAGGAAGAGCAUAUACCUUACAAGUAUACGGAGGUUGUUCAAAUCAACCAUUUCUCA